rnacentral:rRNA from 1 species
GACGAACGCUGGCGGCGUGCUUCAUACAUGCAAGUCGAACGAGAAGCUGACUUCGGUCAGUGGAAAGUGGCGGACGGGUGAGUAAUAUGUAGGAAAUCUGCCUUUAGGAGGGGGACAACAGAGGGAAACUUCUGCUAAUACCCCAUAUGAGCGUAGCUGAAAUGCUAUUCUUGAAAACUCCGGUGCCUAAAGAUGAGCCUGCAUCUGAUUAGCUAGUUGGUAGUGUAAUGGACUACCAAGGCGACGAUCAGUAGCUGGUUUGAGAGGAUGAUCAGCCACAAUGGGACUGAGACACGGCCCAUACUCCUACGGGAGGCAGCAGUAGGGAAUUUUGCGCAACGGGCGAAAGCCUGACGCAGCAACGCCGCGUGAACGAUUAAGCCCUUCGGGGUGUAAAGUUCUGUCAGUGGGGACGAAACUUGACGGUACCCACAGAGGAAGCACCGGCUAACUCCGUG